AGCGUACACGGUGGAUGCCCUGGCAGUCAGAGGCGAUGAAGGACGUGCUAAUCUGCGAAAAGCGCCGGCGAGGUGAUAUGAACCUUUGACCCGGCGAUGUCCGAAUGGGGAAACCCAGUGCAAUUCGUUGCACUAUCGUUAACUGAAUACAUAGGUUAACGAGGCGAACCGGGGGAACUGAAACAUCUAAGUACCCCGAGGAAAAGAAAUCAACCGAGAUUCCCCCAGUAGCGGCGAGCGAACGGGGAGGAGCCCAGAGUCUGAAUCAGCGUGUGUGUUAGUGGAAGCGUCUGGAAAGUCGCACGAUACAGGGUGAUAGUCCCGUACACGAAAAUGCACAGGCUGUGAACUCGAAGAGUAGGGCGGGACACGUGGUAUCCUGUCUGAAUAUGGGGGGACCAUCCUCCAAGGCUAAAUACUCCUGACUGACCGAUAGUGAACCAGUACCGUGAGGGAAAGGCGAAAAGAACCCCGGCGAGGGGAGUGAAAAAGAACCUGAAACCGUGUACGUACAAGCAGUGGGAGCACCCUUCGGGGUGUGACUGCGUACCUUUUGUAUAAUGGGUCAGCGACUUAUAUUCUGUAGCAAGGUUAACCGAAUAGGGGAGCCGAAGGGAAACCGAGUCUUAACUGGGCGUUAAGUUGCAGGGUAUAGACCCGAAACCCGGUGAUCUAGCCAUGGGCAGGUUGAAGGUUGGGUAACACUAACUGGAGGACCGAACCGACUAAUGUUGAAAAAUUAGCGGAUGACCUGUGGCUGGGGGUGAAAGGCCAAUCAAACCGGGAGAUAGCUGGUUCUCCCCGAAAGCUAUUUAGGUAGCGCCUCGUGAACUCAUCUUCGGGGGUAGAGCACUGUUUCGGCUAGGGGGUCAUCCCGACUUACCAACCCGAUGCAAACUGCGAAUACCGAAGAAUGUUAUCACGGGAGACACACGGCGGGUGCUAACGUCCGUCGUGAAGAGGGAAACAACCCAGACCGCCAGCUAAGGUCCCAAAGUCAUGGUUAAGUGGGAAACGAUGUGGGAAGGCCCAGACAGCCAGGAUGUUGGCUUAGAAGCAGCCAUCAUUUAAAGAAAGCGUAAUAGCUCACUGGUCGAGUCGGCCUGCGCGGAAGAUGUAACGGGGCUAAACCAUGCACCGAAGCUGCGGCAGCGACGCUUAUGCGUUGUUGGGUAGGGGAGCGUUCUGUAAGCCGUCGAAGGUGUGCUGUGAGGCAUGCUGGAGGUAUCAGAAGUGCGAAUGCUGACAUAAGUAACGAUAAAGCGGGUGAAAAGCCCGCUCGCCGGAAGACCAAGGGUUCCUGUCCAACGUUAAUCGGGGCAGGGUGAGUCGACCCCUAAGGCGAGGCCGAAAGGCGUAGUCGAUGGGAAACAGGUUAAUAUUCCUGUACUUGGUGUUACUGCGAAGGGGGGACGGAGAAGGCUAUGUUAGCCGGGCGACGGUUGUCCCGGUUUAAGCAUGUAGGCGGAGGUUCCAGGUAAAUCCGGUACCUUUUAACGCUGAGGUGUGAUGACGAGGCACUACGGUGCUGAAGUAACAAAUGCCCUGCUUCCAGGAAAAGCCUCUAAGCAUCAGGUAACACGAAAUCGUACCCCAAACCGACACAGGUGGUCAGGUAGAGAAUACCAAGGCGCUUGAGAGAACUCGGGUGAAGGAACUAGGCAAAAUGGUGCCGUAACUUCGGGAGAAGGCACGCUGACAUGUAGGUGAAGCCCCUGCGGGUGGAGCUGAAGUCAGUCGAAGAUACCAGCUGGCUGCAACUGUUUAUUAAAAACACAGCACUGUGCAAACACGAAAGUGGACGUAUACGGUGUGACGCCUGCCCGGUGCCGGAAGGUUAAUUGAUGGGGUUAUCCUCAGGGAGAAGCUCUUGAUCGAAGCCCCGGUAAACGGCGGCCGUAACUAUAACGGUCCUAAGGUAGCGAAAUUCCUUGUCGGGUAAGUUCCGACCCGCACGAAAGGCGUAAUGAUUUGGGCACUGUCUCAACGAGAGACUCGGUGAAAUCAUAGUACCUGUGAAGAUGCAGGUUACCCGCGACAGGACGGAAAGACCCCGUGGAGCUUUACUGUAGCCUGAUAUUGAAAUUCGGCACAGCUUGUACAGGAUAGGUAGGAGCCUUUGAAACGUGAGCGCUAGCUUACGUGGAGGCGCUGGUGGGAUACUACCCUAGCUGUGUUGGCUUUCUAACCCGCACCACUUAUCGUGGUGGGAGACAGUGUCAGGCGGGCAGUUUGACUGGGGCGGUCGCCUCCUAAAAUGUAACGGAGGCGCCCAAAGGUUCCCUCAGAAUGGUUGGAAAUCAUUCGCAGAGUGUAAAGGUAGAAGGGAGCUUGACUGCGAGACUGACAAGUCGAGCAGGGACGAAAGUCGGGCUUAGUGAUCCGGUGGUUCCGUAUGGAAGGGCCAUCGCUCAACGGAUAAAAGCUACCCUGGGGAUAACAGGCUUAUCUCCCCCAAGAGUCCACAUCGACGGGGAGGUUUGGCACCUCGAUGUCGGCUCAUCGCAUCCUGGGGCUGUAGUCGGUCCCAAGGGUUGGGCUGUUCGCCCAUUAAAGCGGUACGCGAGCUGGGUUCAGAACGUCGUGAGACAGUUCGGUCCCUAUCCGUCGCGGGCGCAGGAAAUUUGAGAGGAGCUGUCCUUAGUACGAGAGGACCGGGAUGGACGUUCCGCUGGUGUACCAGUUGUGCCGCCAGGCGCAUCGCUGGGUAGCUAUGAACGGAAGGGAUAAACGCUGAAAGCAUCUAAGUGUGAAGCCCCCCUCGAGAUGAGAUUUCCCAUUCCU
rnacentral:rRNA from 1 species